UACGUAGGGGGCAAGCGUUGUCCGGAAUCAUUGGGCGUAAAGAGCGUGUAGGCGGCCAGAAAAGUCCGCUGUGAAAACUCGAGGCUCAACUUCGAGCUGUCGGUGGAAACUUUCUGGCUAGAGUCCGGAAGAGGAGAAUGGAAUUCCUGGUGUAGCGGUGAAAUGCGCAGAUAUCAGGAAGAACACCCGUGGCGAAGGCGGCGAUCUGGGUAGAUACUGACGCUGAGGUGCGAAAGCGUGGGGAGCAAACAGG
rnacentral:rRNA from 1 species